UGGGGAGUGAAGAGCUAAGCAACACCGGCCGGGACGUGCAAGAGUCGGUAGCAGUUGACCUUCGGGCGCAUCAAGGGCUACUUUCAGGUUUUUCCACCGGGAGUUGGUACCUCCCGCUCUCUUGUUUACUCUGUACACUUUUUUACGUAUUCUUGCUAGCACUCCGUGUGAGGUUUACUCUGUUGCUAUCUAGUUUGCAUCC
rnacentral:lncRNA from 1 species